AUUUCUCAGAAAUGCAUGAUUAUAGACCCCUCAUCUUAUAUGGGAUAAGAAAAGGUCAGGAAUAAAAUCAUGUAGCACGAGAAUAGCUUCAGCAAUACUAAAAUAUGACGCAUUGAUGCAGAAAAGAAGGAUUUGAUUGUGGAUGCCUUUCAAUAUGAAUCUGACGGGUGUUUAUCACUGCAGCUAACUCAAGUUCUUCCCUGUCAGUUGCAAAAGCCACUUUCCCUGCUAUCUAAUCAAUUCCACUGACUUAUCUGUUUUACAAUUUCAUCAGAUCUGGAGGAAGCUGCAAUCUCCACCCAAACUUCGUUCCUCACAAGCCUUUUACCUUACCAACACUUUCUUUGCUACAACCUGCCAUUGCCAUGGCUGCUGGUGUCUCUCAAAACAGAGCAGAAAGAAAGCCACCCACAUGGUGAUUCCAGUAAGAGAAUAUUUUCAAUCAGAUUAUCCUCCAGCAUCCAUCCAAAGGGCGUAUAUUGGGUUAAGGGUUUUUUUUAUGUUUUUUUUUCCUCCCCUCAACGGUAAGAAUUAAACAGUUGUGUGAGCUUGAUUCAGUAUGUGACAUCUAAAAGAUUUUUAUGUGAAGUUUCUUUCCACAAAAAGGCCGUGUAUAACAUCAUAAAGAAAACACUACAUUCAAACUGUUAAACAGAAAACAAAUAGCACCACUUAUUAUAUUCAGCUUUUAGGGAUCAAAAUAAUUGACUGUCAUUGAUGAGAAACAUCAGGGGGGAAAGGAUACCAAAAUCACCUGUACUACGGUGGUAUGUCAAGCAAUACUAGGAUCUAAAAAACUACACUCCAUCGAAGCCAGUGGCCUUUAGCCUGUAGGCAACUAUCCAAGAACUGAACUAUUUGCACCUGUGUUGAAUGUUCAUGGCAGAGCUGAAAUGAUACAAGAUGAAUUCUCCAGUAGAAUCCUAAAUGGAAAAUGUAUAUGAUCAGAAGUUGACAGGAGAAUAGGAGCUCCGGUGACUUUGAGAAGGUCCCCUGAAUUUCUGCAUCAAAGAUGUAAAUGAACUCUGCAAAGAGGAAACAAGAGAAUUCAGAGUUAUUAAUUAGCAAACAUAUAUGGAGCUUAAGAACAAAUCACAUUUAAUUCAAACUUGUUAAUACGUGUGACACAACACAAUAUAAAGAAACAGAAACUGAAGCAAAGUAAGUGGAAGGAAUACCUGUGUUCUGUGAGGUAAACCGGUCCAGAAGUCCAAGUUUGGGAUAAUCUAAACAAAGAUGAGGAAUAAAGUCAACCCAAAUCCACAACAGUCAUUGAAAGUAUAUGAUGAGAAAAUACAGAGUAACAUAUAAAUAACACUUAUUUAUCAUACAAAUGCCAAUGGACGAAUUCAUGCAUAAUAUGAAUUCACGUGGAUAAAAAGAAGCCCCAGUCAGGUGAGAAAACAUACUUCUAUUCCACGAACUCCAAGGAUGAAAGACCGAUAAACUGAACCAGCCAGUAGAUAUCCUCCAAGAAGGCACAACAUACUGAAAACCAGAGCAAUCAAAAUGAUUCCUUAAAAGUUUCGGGCUCACCAAAGUGUCAUUUUGUAACAUUUAAAUGUUUGAGAGAGCAUAUUAAAAAACGUACAUGAUUAUGAAGGUGCCAACCCAACCCCACCCUUUACCAUGAAAUUGUACAAUCUUGGCACAACCAGAAGGAUGCCUCAGCACAGUAGCCUGUCAGACAAAUAUAAUUAUGAACCCGAAUCACUAUGAAUCAUGCAAGUACACUUGAGUAAACCAGUUUUGGAUGCCGAGGAAACAUUUACCAGUCAAAGAGCAAUCACUUUGAGAUCCAUGGUUGCAAUAAACUACAUACUACAAUAACUAGAUCACUUGAUUAUCUAAUGCCACCCCCCUUUCCCCUCUCCAACAGCACCACCAGUUAUAAUACUGUUUUCCUUCCAUUUCACAAUCAUCAUUCAGCCAAGACACAAGCACACAUUUAUUAGUCAUCAAUUUUUCUUUUAAUGAAUUUAUUAGUCAUCAAAUAUUGGGUUGAGCACAUCUUCAGUUCUAAGUUCGUAUAUCAUACUAAUCUUAUAGUUUUUCUUUCUUUUAUUGUCUUUGGUCAAGAAUUGGUUGGUUCAGUCCAGAAAAUAUGGUUGGCAACAGACUCACUGAAGCAUUGAAGCCUAAAGGCACUUACAAAAUCAGGUAGCAGUUUAUUCAACAUGAAGAAACCAGGUGGAACAGCCACCGAAAUCUACCUGAAAUACAACCUUAUGAAUCACACAAAGAAUUUAUUAUUCAUCUCCCAGAAUUGGCAUCAAUUAUGCCAGUAAGUCACCAUUUAAACCGUUUGAUUGCUGUUCAAGCUAAAGGCUCCUUGUAGCAUAAAAUAGUGAAUGCAAGGAGAUGUCACGACUACCAUUGAAAAUUCUUGCGGACCUAGAAUCAAGUUAAUUUUGCUAGUAUUUAACAGCCACAUUAAGCUCAAAAGUCAGUAGUCAGUACCAUCACUGCUAGAAAUAUGGAUCCAGCAAAAGAAGAAAACAGGAGGCCAAAGGGCUACAGAUACAGCCAAGAUUGUGGACAAAAAAAGCACCAUAUCCAAAUGAAUAUAUCAAAAUCUCAUUAUGGAGUAUACUAGGAUAUAGGAAGAGCCAACAACCUUCCAAAUUAUUUUAAUUGGUUUCAAUCACGCUACAUUUGUCAAGGGUCCUAUUGAAAAUCAUCAAAUAACUGGAAAUGAAUCACCAUCUCAAAGUGCAAUUUUUAUUUUAUAUGUAAUUUAUACACGCCCCAAAUGGGUGUUGAACCCGUGACCUCACUCUUCACCCCAUUCUUAUGGGAGGAGUAGGUGCCAUUUGAGACAGAAGUCGCAGAACUCAUUGGCCAUCUCAAUGUGCAACAUUGAUUCUACACAUGCACACACAUAUACAGAAUGCGUGUGUUCCAGGAAUUAGGUUAUGUGGUUUUAAAAAUCAAUAUUGUGAAAUAACAUAAAGCAAUAAGAAUGGAGGCAAUAAAACAA